AGCCUACAAACUGCACUGUGUUCAAACAUUCUUAUUUUCCAAGUUGAUAUCUUUUAUAUAGAUCCUCCCAUGUUUCGCUGAAUCGAAUAGUUGCCUCUGGAUUCGUGAGAUCUCUAUGGUAAUGAGUAACUAAGUUAUAUAUGUUGCCAAAACUUUUACAUAGGUUAGUUGAUUAUUUACUUCGAAGUUUUAUAGUCCAAUACUUUGAGAAUUUCUUCUGGGCAGAUGAAUGUUAUUCAAGGGGAAGAGGCAGGAUCGUCAACAGAACUGAAAAGGCAUUACGACACUGACUCCGUCUUUCGUGAGAAUGCCGAUGCCGCCGUUUGUUCUGAAAUUACAUAGAACAAGUUUUCCCUUUACUCAUAUAUUCAACCAAUUGACUUGACAAUACAAACACUUGUGGUUUAUCAGCAUCUCCCUCUAAUAUUUAAGGGCACUCGAUCGUGUGGGAAGCCUCGUGUAAUUUCUUUUUUCAAUCAUGCUAUUGGAGAGCAAGUUACAUGGAACAAGUUCACUAUCACUUGACAUCCCGAUUCAAUAACACAUUGUCAUGUAGAAAAACCUGCAUUUGGCAAUGCAUUAUUGAACAAAGAACUCCACGUACCCAUUCCAUGUAAGUCUUUCUCGUGCUAUUGGCAACUCACGACAAUUCAGUCUUCAUUAAUUUAAGUAACCAAACGAUAUAACAUGUGUACGUUUACAGAGUAUAUUUUAUACACACGCAAUCAUUUAAUCUAGUUUCAUCUAGUCUUCAUUUAAUUUGAGAAUUUCAUAAAUUCAAAUUUGAUAUGAGAUAGAUGUUUGUAUAAAAUUCAUAAAAUUCUCAAAAAAAACAAGUGUAAUUAUGCCUUCUAUGAAAAUAUAUAAAUCCGUCGAAGUCCAUUGUGAGCCCU
rnacentral:lncRNA from 1 species